AGUGAGAUUAAACACUGUACUCAGGGUGGGUGAGAUUAAACACUCUCUACUUGGUGGCUCAGUGGUUGAGUGUCUGCCUUUGCGGAAGUUAUGAUCCCGGGGUCCUGGGAUCGAGUUCCGCAUCGGGCUCCCCACUGGGGAGCCUGCUUCUCCCUCUGCCUCUUUUUUUGUGUCUCUCGUGAAUAAAUAAUCUUUUUAAAAAAAAGAAAAAACAACUUAUGCUUAUCCAGUGUGUCCAGAUUUCUGUUCUUAGGGCCAAAAAAGUGGAAAUAAUAUUUGAAAUUAGGUUCCCAAGAAAUGGAUCCUUUGAGGAGGAAUAUUAUGCAGUCUUCAUUCUCUUUUUAACUUUAUUGGAAGAAGUAAAUAGUAUCAACUACAGUAAACAGUCUUUUAUUAUGUGACUUCACCAGUGGUUUAAUAUAGGAGUUCUUUACCUACAUGUGCUCUUUUCCAUGGCUUUACAAACACUAUAAAUAAAAUGCAGUCAUUAAGGCCUCACAUUUGUUACAUAAGUAUGGGAAAAAGCAAACCCUCCUUCUGUUGGAUGAGCCGCAAAAUAUAUGACCAAGGUUAAAUUUC